rnacentral:rRNA from 1 species
UACGUAGGGUGCGAGCGUUGUCCGGAAUUAUUGGGCGUAAAGAGCUCGUAGGCGGUGUGUCGCGUCGGCCGUGAAAACCCGGGGCUCAACUCCGGGCCUGCAGUCGAUACGGGCUGGCUUGAGUGCGGUAGGGGAGACUGGAAUUCCUGGUGUAGCGGUGAAAUGCGCAGAUAUCAGGAGGAACACCGGUGGCGAAGGCGGAUCUCUGGGCCAUUACUGACGCUGAGGAGCGAAAGCGUGGGGAGCGAACAGG